rnacentral:lncRNA from 1 species
AGGACUUCUGGGAAAUUCUCCUGAGAAGCAGGAUCUUGAGGCUGGAGACACAGAAGGGAGUAAAAAGAGGUGCUGUUUCUAGGAGCCAUUCAUUACACCUGUGGAGAUUUCAUUCACACACAGAAAUCCCAAUAUUGAGGGUUCCUGUUUAAAGCAUUGCUGGUUUCUGUCAAGAAACCUAAUUUCUUUAAAGACUUUCAUUUCCAUGAACUAUUGAGAUACUGGACUCAAAUUGAGAGUAAUCCCAUUGGUAGACUCCAUCUUGUUGCCAGUUUUCAAGAAGACCAGAGAGGGAGGCUUAUGAGAGCCUCAAAGCAGCUCAUAUCUGGAUUGAGGUCCCACAUACUUCUCCUUAUAGAGAAGACUUCCUCGCCACCCUUGAGGGCCAGCAUGGCCAUCAAGGAGCAAGCCUUCACUGAGAAGAGGUCUGAAUCUCUUCAUUUUGGGAAGAACAGGGUCAAUGUUCAAUAGACUGAAGGAAAGAAUGUCUGUCAGGGACUGAAAAACAUGAGUAGAGACUAUCAACCUCAUUAAUAGAACCACAUCUCAGAACCUAAUGUGAGAGCAGCAAUGAAAUAAAAACAGACU